GUUUACUGGCUUGUUUGCUUGAUGUUGUAGUUUCCGAUGAUAACGUCUUUAAACAAGGUGUUUUUUUUCUCAAAGUCAGAAGUGGAAUUGCAUGAUCUGGGGAUCAAGAUGCUCAGUUGUACUGGGCACACGCUAGAAUGGUCACCACAGAACACAGGACACCUACCAACUGCAUGGAAAUGUUAAAUCUGUAUUCCAUUGGAUGUCGUUGCUAUGAGUAGUGAAUAUAUACUAUGGGCCAGGCCAAAAAAGCAAUGCCUCCCCUGCCUGCUUCGUGGCCGGUCCAGCAGCUGUUUUGCCCCGGGCUGUAGAAGGGCUGGGCCAACAAGGCCACAAGUAAUCGAGGCCCAGUCCGUCAGGUUGAUCUGUGGUCGUCAAGCAGAUGAUGCUCUGCAGCAGCUGCAAGCAGUGAAGUCACAUAACAGUGUAGAGUACCAGAACAGUCGAAGCAGUUGUACUAAAUCGUGCCAAACUCUAGCUUUAACAGCAACUACCGGCUUGUUCUAUUAUCAUUGUUUUUAUUUACAAGAGUGAUACACACUGGCUGUUCUGAGUUGCGUGUAAAUGCUAUAAGAAGACAAUAGUGUGGUUCUUUUUCUAUUUUUA